CCAAAACGCAGGGGGAGGGAGAGGGGAAGAGAGAAUGGAUAGUCUUGCCGUGCUCGGGAGAAGCCCCUGCGCUCUAUCCGGAACCCUUCAAUCUCGGAGCCAUGGAGUCUCUUCGUUCCCCCGCGGGGCGCAAGCCCUCGCCUUCCCCUCCCACCGCCACCUCGCCGCGCUCCCGCCGUCGCCGUUCCUCUCCCUCUCGUCUGGCGCCGCCGGCGCCAAAGCGCGCGCCCGGAGGACCGGAACCCGCAUCUUUAUUCCCCACCUCGUCGCCGCCAUGGAAGAGGUCGAGGAGACUUAUAUCAUGGUAAAACCCGACGGUGUUCAACGUGGCCUGGUGGGAGAAAUUAUUUCUCGGUUCGAGAAGAAGGGAUUUUUGCUGAAGGGCUUAAAGCUUUUCCAAUGCCCCAAGGAGUUAGCUGAGGAGCAUUACAAGGAUCUGAAGGACAAGUCUUUCUUUCCUAAGCUGAUAGACUACAUCACCUCUGGCCCUGUUGUUUGUAUGGCUUGGGAGGGUGUUGGUGUUGUUGCAUCAGCUCGCAAGCUUAUAGGAUCAACCAAUCCUCUUCAGGCUGAACCAGGCACCAUACGAGGUGAUUUGGCAGUUCAAACUGGCAGGAAUGUUGUUCAUGGAAGUGAUAGCCCUGAGAAUGGCAAGCGUGAAAUUGCCCUAUGGUUCAAAGAAGGUGAACUAUGUUCAUGGGUACCAGUUCAAGCACCUUGGCUUAGAGACAUGGUUUCAUGCAAUUCCAUCCUGCGGCUUUUAUGAAGGAGGCUAUAAUGACCUCAAUGAGAGCACAAGUUGAUAAGUCUUUCAAUUCCAUGCUGCUUCUUUAUCGGCCUUGUCAUUGCAUUAGCUCGAGCAAGAUUUGAGAUUGAACUUUCUUUGCAUCACCAUACCUUUGCCAUUCUGAUCCAUGGACUCUAAUUAAGGCCUUUUGAGGAACAGGGAUGUGGUUUACAUAUUGUACUAUGCAUCACAAAUUAAUUCAAGCCACAUAUGCCAAUGCGCAAAUAAUUUGAAGCAGUUGUAUGCAUGUCAUAGCAUUUAUAUCAAAAUAUUUGUUGGUUAGGUUCAGUCUUUCAUAGCUCAGUAACUUUCCUUGAGCAGUGGAAGGCAUUACUUGUGUUGCGCCGAAUAAUUUGAAGCGGUUGCAUGAAUGCUAAGAGUAUUUGUCUCAAAAUUUGAUGUUGGUUAGGUUCAGCCUUUCAUAGCUCAGUAACUUUCCUUGAGCAGUGGAAGGCAUUACUUAACCAUGUUUUAAAACAACAGAAGGUAAUGUGAACAAGGGUAAAUCAAGAAUUCCCUCUGCAUUUUAGCAGGCUACUAAUUGAGACGGUGUUAAAAUUGACAUGAGUCAAUAGCACUGCAGUGACCAUCAAAAACAAGUCUCAGCAGAAACAUCAGGUCAGAUAUGGGGUUGUAUAUUUUGGGGCGAAAGAAGGAUUCACCUUCCUUCACGUGAAUCCUCUGUUAGAUUUUGCAACGGUUGCUUUGAGAGCUGUGCUGAUGGAUGAAUGAAAGAAUUUGAAAGGUUUUGAUAUAUGUGCAAGGAGCUAUCCAAUGGUUGAUGUUGCAAAAAAAAUUAAUCAUUCUUUCGUGCGAAAGAUACAUUCUGAACCCUAUAGAUUGGCCAAAAGAUGAGAUGAAGAAAGCAGUAGCAACAGAAGGAAGCCAAGGAGUGGCUGAGGGCCUACCAUUGCCAUAAGAGACUGGUGAAGGAGCAGGGCUUGAAACGUCCAUGAUUGCAGCACCUCUACAAACCAGUAAAACAGAGCACAAAAGGCUAUGGUGAUGACAAACAGGGAUCAUAUCACUGCCAAUUUUUAAACAAGAAAAUAAUCAGAAGAACAUGGGAAAAGCAAGGAAAUGGAUACUCAAUUUGAAGUGAGUGAACAGAGUUCCAAAUUCAAUCUCAUGGAUAUAUAUAUAAUCUAUGGAAAGCCAUAUUCGAUGAAAGUGAGGGAGGUCUUUCAUAUGCUUCGAGAUCCACCUCACAAUAUAGGGUCAAAAAGCCAACAUAAGUGAUUCAUUUUUAGCCCUCAACAAGAGGGAGGCAUCUAUAUUCACAUUUUUAGCCUA